rnacentral:lncRNA from 1 species
AGCCAAAACAGAAUCCAAGGGGAAACACAACACACAAACAAAUUUCGAUUGCAGUCUGAUUGACGCAAGCGCCCAGAUCAUCUUCUGCGAUCCCAUCCGGAUGCCAUUUGUUUCUUUCUACCCAAGGCGGAAGUUGUUGCAGGUGGUCUGCCGGAAGAGCAGGGAGGAGCUGAACCCGAGAGGACAGGAUAGAGCAAGAAUCAGAGAGUUUUGAGCCUCCAAACUUGGCCUUCUGUUGUAUCCUACAAGAACACGGAAGUAACCACGGGACUGGCAUAUGUGAGUGUGCAUCAUGGAUCUCUAUGAAUGGCCAGCACAUUCGACGUUCUUGAAAUUAUGUAACCUGAUUUGAUCCGUUUGAUCUUAUGUGAUGGCACAUUGACACUGCUCAUUUCAUUUUUUUAAGACAAAGGGCACUGCUCAUUUCAUGGUCAUUAAACUUCUGGUCUAUCUACAAUGCCUGCUGUUUCCAUGGUCGUUAUGCUUGAGUGCAUCGAGGCAGUUACCUUCUGAACUUAUGAGCAGCCAUGCGUCGCUACUACGAGUGCAUAACUGAAACUGGGCUUUGUUGGUCGAUAUGUAAAUGCAGAAACAACGCUUGCUCUGAUAGGAAAAUCGUUCGAUCUCCUGUUGAUUAUUCAAACAGCCAAAACAGAACCCAAGGGGAAACACAACACACAAACAAAUUUCGAUUGCAGUCUGCUUGACGCAAGCGCCCAGAUCAUCUUCUGCGAUCCCAUCCGGAUGCCAUUUGUUUCUUUCUACCCAAGGCGGAAGUUGUUGCAGGUGGUCUGGCGGAAGAGCAGGGAGGAGCUGAACCCGAGCCGCGACCGCUGCAGAUCGAACUCCAGCAGGUUGUCCUCCAUCAUGUGGCCCCCGACCAC